GAUUAAGUUAUUAAGGGCGCACGGUGGAUGCCUUGGCACUAGAAGCCGACGAAGGACGUUACUAACGACGAUAUGCUUUGGGGAGCUGUAAGUAAGCUUUGAUCCAGAGAUUUCCGAAUGGGGAAACC
rnacentral:rRNA from 1 species